rnacentral:rRNA from 1 species
AUUGAACGCUGGCGGCAGGCCUAACACAUGCAAGUCGAGCGGAUGAAGGGAGCUUGCUCCUGGAUUCAGCGGCGGACGGGUGAGUAAUGCCUAGGAAUCUGCCUGGUAGUGGGGGAUAACGUCCGGAAACGGGCGCUAAUACCGCAUACGUCCUGAGGGAGAAAGUGGGGGAUCUUCGGACCUCACGCUAUCAGAUGAGCCUAGGUCGGAUUAGCUAGUUGGUGGGGUAAAGGCCUACCAAGGCGACGAUCCGUAACUGGUCUGAGAGGAUGAUCAGUCACACUGGAACUGAGAAACGGUCCAGACUCCUCCGGGAGGCAGAAGUGGGGAAUAUUGGACAAUGGGCGAAAGCCUGAUCCAGCCAUGCCGCGUGUGUGAAGAAGGUCUUCGGAUUGUAAAGCACUUUAAGUUGGGAGGAAGGGCAGUAAGUUAAUACCUUGCUGUUUUGACGUUACCAACAGAAUAAGCACCGGCUAACUUCGUG